GAGCCGGAGGGAAACCGAGUCUUAAUUGGGCGUUAAGUUGCAGGGUAUAGACCCGAAACCCGGUGAUCUAGCCAUGGGCAGGUUGAAGGUUGGGUAACACUAACUGGAGGACCGAACCGACUAAUGUUGAAAAAUUAGCGGAUGACCUGUGGCUGGGGGUGAAAGGCCAAUCAAACCGGGAGAUAGCUGGUUCUCCCCGAAAGCUAUUUAGGUAGCGCCUCGUGAAUUCAUCUCCGGGGGUAGAGCACUGUUUCGGCUAGGGGGCCAUCCCGGCUUACCAACCCGAUGCAAACUGCGAAUACCGGAGAAUGUUAUCACGGGAGACACACGGCGGGUGCUAACGUCCGUCGUGAAGAGGGAAACAACCCAGACCGCCAGCUAAGGUCCCAAAGUCAUGGUUAAGUGGGAAACGAUGUGGGAAGGCCCAGACAGCCAGGAUGUUGGCUUAGAAGCAGCCAUCAUUUAAAGAAAGCGUAAUAGCUCACUGGUCGAGUCGGCCUGCGCGGAAGAUGUAACGGGGCUAAACCAUGCACCGAAGCUGCGGCAGCGACGCUGAUGCGUUGUUGGGUAGGGGAGCGUUCUGUAAGCCUGCGAAGGUGGCCUGUGAGGGUUGCUGGAGGUAUCAGAAGUGCGAAUGCUGACAUAAGUAACGAUAAAGCGGGUGAAAAGCCCGCUCGCCGGAAGACCAAGGGUUCCUGUCCAACGUUAAUCGGGGCAGGGUGAGUCGACCCCUAAGGCGAGGCCGAAAGGCGUAGUCGAUGGGAAACGGGUUAAUAUUCCCGUACUUGGUGUUACUGCGAAGGGGGGACGGAGAAGGCUAUGUUGGCCGGGCGACGGUUGUCCCGGUUUAAGCGUGUAGGUGUGUGUUCCAGGUAAAUCCGGUU
rnacentral:rRNA from 1 species